AAUACCUGCUCACUGGAUACUUACUAAGAUCUCCAUCUUUGGUUGUCUCAAUAACCUUGUGAAGAGGGUGACAGAAGAAUGAGCAAACAGCGGCGGCCCGCUGGCCCCAGAGCCACCGCCUGGUGUCUGGCACCCAGAGGCUUCCCCGGCCGACCUUGUGGAGAAAGGCCAACAGGGAGAAAGCCACAGCCAAAGGAGGAACACACAGAACCUGGCUCUACGCGCAGACGCCAGCGCGGCAGCCAUUGGCGUUCGGUGCGAACCUGUCCAGCCGCCCUGUGCUCCAUCACGC
rnacentral:lncRNA from 1 species